CCUACGGGCGGCAGCAGUGAGGAAUAUUGGUCAAUGGACGGGAGUCUGAACCAGCCAUGCCGCGUGCAGGAAGACGGCUCUAUGAGUUGUAAACUUCUUUUGUACAAGGGUAAACCUCGGUACGUGUCUUCAGCUGCGAGUACCGUAAGAAUCAGGAUCGGCUAACUCCGUGCCAGCAGCCGCGGUAAUACGGAGGAUCGAAGCGUUAUCCGGAUUUAUUGGGUUUAAAGGGUGCGUAGGCGGAUUGGUAAGUGAGAGGUGAAAUGUCCGAGCUUAACUCGGGAACUGCCUUGGAUACGGGUGAACUAGAGUGUAGGAGCGGUAGGCGGAAUGCAUGGUGUAGCGGUGAAAUGCUUAGAGAUCACGCAGAACACCGAUUGCGAAGGCAGCUUACCGGUCUAUAACUGACGUUGAGGCACGAAAGCGUGGGGAGCAAACAGGAUUAGAUACCCGAGUAGUC
rnacentral:rRNA from 1 species